GACGAACGCUGGCGGCGUGCCUAAUACAUGCAAGUCGAACGCAGUUGCGAACGGGUGAGUAACGCGUAGGUAACUGCCUCAUAGCGGGGGGUCACUAUUGGAAACGAUAGAUAAUACCGCAUACUGUGAGCUGGACCUGCGUUGGAUUAGUUAGUUGGUGAGGUAAAGGCUCACCAAGGCGACGAUACAUAGCCGACCUGGGCGGGUGAUCGGCCCCAAUGGGACUUGGACACGGCCCAGACUCCCACGGGAGGCCACAGUAGGGAAACUUCGGCAAUGGACGGAAGUCCGACCGCGGCAAUCCGCGGGAGUGAAGAAAGUUUUCGGAUCGUAAAGCUCUGUUGUUAGAGAAGCGGUAACUAAACAGAAAGCGCCGGCUAACUACGUGCCAGCAGCCGCGGUAAUUC
rnacentral:rRNA from 1 species